UACCCCGACCACUCUCACUCAUCCCCUCUCCUCCUCUCGCUCCCUCCUUCGCUCUCGUUCUCCCCGUCUGAAGCUCCCUCUGUUGCUCGACUGACCCCUUGCCCCUCCCCCUCCCUCUAUCUCUCGCCAACAUUAGCUAAAGCUCUCCCUUCACCCUUCCUCUAUCUCUCGCCUCCAUCGCCCCUUUCCCUACCUCUGGCCCCUCAACCCGUCCCACCUCUCCAUCGUUUCGAUCAACUGGUCAGUCCCUCCCUCUUUCGCCCCUUGUUCGUGCGAAUUAGAUUGCAUCAGGCUGGGGCAUCAACAUUGAGGAAAGAAGACCUUGAUGGUCCGAAUCCUAACCCCCAUUCGGUUGCAGGAGAACCCUACCCCCCGCAGGAGGCACCUCUACAGUUGGUGAUAAGCAGAAGGAUUUUGAACUUGGGGAAGCUAUUAUUGUGACAGGCAGUUGCGUGGAUCCAAAACGAGCCUCCUGCUCUUUUUUCAUUGUAAUUGCUCAAAUUCCACGUGGUAUGAUAGUGGGUGAUGAAAACCUGCAUGCAUAGAUCAGAUUUGGUUAACGGAAAGAAGUUCGCUGCGGGAGGAACUAUCUGCUUAUGACAUAUUAAUCCACUGCACUUUGAUGAAAAUUGACUUGUCGUGCAGUCUAAUUUGUUAAGUGGUCAGAUAUGAUUUGAUGUACAUGAAACUUGAGACUAUCCUGAUGAACAUGUACUCUUUUUUCUUUUUUUUGUAGUCAUAGAAUCUGAUUUUGUUAAAUAAACAUAUCUGAGUUGAUGCGUAA